rnacentral:rRNA from 1 species
GUAGCACAGAGGAGCUUGCUCCUUGGGUGACGAGUGGCGGACGGGUGAGUAAUGUCUGGGGAUCUGCCCGAUAGAGGGGGAUAACCACUGGAAACGGUGGCUAAUACCGCAUAACGUCGCAAGACCAAAGAGGGGGACCUUCGGGCCUCUCACUAUCGGAUGAACCCAGAUGGGAUUAGCUAGUAGGCGGGGUAAUGGCCCACCUAGGCGACGAUCCCUAGCUGGUCUGAGAGGAUGACCAGCCACACUGGAACUGAGACACGGUCCAGACUCCUACGGGAGGCAGCAGUGGGGAAUAUUGCACAAUGGGCGCAAGCCUGAUGCAGCCAUGCCGCGUGUAUGAAGAAGGCCUUCGGGUUGUAAAGUACUUUCAGCGGGGAGGAAGGCGGUGAGGUUAAUAACCUCGCCGAUUGACGUUACCCGCAGAAGAAGCACCGGCUAACUCCGUGCCAGCAGCCGCGGUAAUACGGAGGGUGCAAGCGUUAAUCGGAAUUACUGGGCGUAAAGCGCACGCAGGCGGUCUGUUAAGUCAGAUGUGAAAUCCCCGGGCUUAACCUGGGAACUGCAUUUGAAACUGGCAGGCUUGAGUCUCGUAGAGGGGGGUAGAAUUCCAGGUGUAGCGGUGAAAUGCGUAGAGAUCUGGAGGAAUACCGGUGGCGAAGGCGGCCCCCUGGACGAAGACUGACGCUCAGGUGCGAAAGCGU